rnacentral:siRNA from 1 species
AUGGAAAAGCCAACCAAGUACCA